UACGAAGGGUGCAAGCGUUAAUCGGAAUUACUGGGCGUAAAGGGUGCGUAGGCGGUUGUUUAAGUCUGUCGUGAAAUCCCCGGGCUCAACCUGGGAAUGGCGAUGGAUACUGGGCAGCUAGAGUGUGUCAGAGGAUGGUGGAAUUCCCGGUGUAGCAGUGAAAUGCGUAGAGAUCGGGAGGAACACCAGUGGCGAAGGCGGCCGACUGGGCCGGAUCCGACGCUGAUGCGCGAAAGCGUGGGGAGCAAACAGG
rnacentral:rRNA from 1 species